CUUCGUCAGCUGGCAACCAGCCAAAACGCAUUUAUUCAUCAUUUGUGUUUCUCUCUUCACCCUCCACCAUUCCGCCUACGUUUCUUCCCAUUUUUUCUCU
ensembl:ncRNA R08D7.8 ncRNA